UACGUAGGGUGCGAGCGUUAAUCGGAAUUACUGGGCGUAAAGGGUGUGUAGGUGGCGCCGUAAGUCGGGUGUGAAAUCUCGGGGCUUAACUCCGAAACUGCAUUCGAUACUGCGGUGCUUGAGGACUGGAGAGGAGACUGGAAUUCAUGGUGUAGCAGUGAAAUGCGUAGAGAUCAUGAGGAAGACCAGUGGCGAAGGCGGGUCUCUGGACAGUUCCUGACACUGAGACACGAAGGCCAGGGGAGCAAACAGG
rnacentral:rRNA from 1 species